rnacentral:RNase_P_RNA from 1 species
AGUCGGUUAUACGGUUGCGGGGCGCCUUUGAACGGCGCCAUGAGGAAAGUCCGAGCAUCGAAGAGCAGGAUGCCUGAUAACGUCAGGUGAAGGCGACUUUAAGGAAAGUGCAACAGAAAUAUACCGCAGCGCAAGCUGUAAGGGUGGAACGGCGAGGCAAGAGCUCACCGCAUCCGUGGUAACACGGGUGGCAAUGUAAACCCCAUCCGAUGCAAGAUUGGGUAUGCGUCACACAGGGCUGCUCGUCCGACGCAUUACCGUGAAUAUCGCUUGAACCUAUCGGCGACGGUAGGGCUAGAUAGAUAACCGUACACGACAGAACUCGGCUUACAGACCGACUCA